UACGGGGGGGGCAAGCGUUGUUCGGAAUUACUGGGCGUAAAGGGCUCGUAGGCGGCCAACUAAGUCAUACGUGAAAUCCCCAGGCUCAACCUGGGAACUGCGUCUGAUACUGGUUGGCUUGAAUUCGGGAGAGGGAUGUGGAAUUCCAGGUGUAGCGGUGAAAUGCGUAGAUAUCUGGAGGAACACCGGUGGCGAAGGCGGCAUCCUGGACCGAUAUUGACGCUGAUGCGCGAAAGCCAGGGGAGCAAACGGG
rnacentral:rRNA from 1 species